GCAUUGCUCUCGGGGCGCCGGCUUAUUUGGAUAUUUAAGUGACCAGACUGGAGGUAAGGUCCCUGGUCGAGCAUUGCUCUCGGGGCGCCAGUCUUAUUGGAUUAAGAGAGCCGAAUGGCUACUAGAUUUCUUAUUUGGAUAUUUAAGUGACCGGACUGAAGGUAAGGUCCCUGGUCGAGCAUUGCUCUCGGGGCGCCAGUCUUAUUGGAUUAAGAGAGCCAAAGUGGCUGUUAGAAUUUGGGGUUAGGGUUCUACUUAGCCACACGUCCCGUGAAAGUAAAAAUGUCUUUAGUUAUUUACACUCUCCUUUUAUCAUUUUAUUAUUAUGGUGUAUGAUUUUAUAUUAUGACUGCAAUUAUAUUCAGAAAUGGGUAUAUUGUUUUGAAUAAUUAAUAUAUCAUGUGAAGGUUGCAAAAGCCCUUAGAUUAUUUGAUUUUGACUCACU
rnacentral:lncRNA from 1 species